AUUGAACGCUGGCGGCAGGCCUAACACAUGCAAGUCGAACGAGUGGCGGACGGGUGAGUAAUGUCUGGGAAACUGCCUGAUGGAGGGGGAUAACUACUGGAAACGGUAGCUAAUACCGCAUACCAUCGGAUGUGCCCAGAUGGGAUAAGCUAGUAGGUGGGGUAACGGCUCACCUAGGCGACGAUCCCUAGCUGGUCUGAGAGGAUGACCGGCCACACGAGAACUUAGACACGGACCAGUCUCCUACGAGAGGCAGCAGGGGGGAAUAUUGCACAAUGGGCGCAAGCCGGAUGCAGCCAAGCCGCGUGUAGGAAGGAGGCCUUCGGGUUGUAAAGUACUUUCAGCGGGGAUGCGUUACCCGCAGAAGAAGCGCCGGCUAACUCCGUGCCAGCAGCCGCGGUAAUUC
rnacentral:rRNA from 1 species